rnacentral:piRNA from 1 species
UAACUUGUGAGCUUUUCAAGUCUUCUAAGUUU